AGAGUUUGAUCCUGGCUCAGGACGAACGCUGGCGGCGUGCUUAACACAUGCAAGUCGAGCGGGGAUUGCGGAAGUCUUCGGACAGAAACAAUUCUAGCGGCGGACGGGUGAGUAACGCGUGAGCAAUCUGUCCCAGACAGGGGGAUAACACUUGGAAACAGGUGCUAAUACCGCAUAAGACCACGGAGUCGCAUGGCUUUGGGGUAAAAGAAAUUCGGUUUGGGGUGAGCUCGCGUCCGAUUAGCUAGUUGGUGAGGUAACGGCCCACCAAGGCGACGAUCGGUAGCCGACCUGAGAGGGUGAUCGGCCACAUUGGAACUGAGACACGGUCCAAACUCCUACGGGAGGCAGCAGUGGGGAAUAUUGGGCAAUGGGCGGAAGCCUGACCCAGCAACGCCGCGUGAGGGAAGAAGGUUUUCGGAUUGUAAACCUCUGUCCUCAAGGACGAAGGAAGUGACGGUACUUGAGGAGGAAGCCCCGGCUAACUACGUGCCAGCAGCCGCGGU
rnacentral:rRNA from 1 species